GUAUGCAUGUAUGUAUGCAUGUAUGUAUGCAUGUAUGUAUGUAUGUAUAUUGCGUGUCUGUGGAACGUAGGUGUGUGUAUAUUCUUUCUCUCUAUGUAUAUCUGUGUGCUAAUAUCAGUGUGUAGUUACUGAAGUGCUUGUUGUGUGAGUUUAUAUUGUGUAUGUGAAUACUUAUGUAUUGUAUUUAUCCAUUGUAUGUACUUCGCCGAAUAUGUGUCAUUGGAUGUGUGUGUGAUUAUUAUAUAUAUAUAUUUGGGUAAUAAUGACAGGGCUUGACGAAUGUUAUGAGUCUAUUGUGUAUGUGUAGUUAGUUUCUGGAAUAGUUGUGCCUAGUGUGUGAAUACACUUUGAAUACACCUGAUUUAUGUGCAUAUAUGUGAGAAUUUGUGUUUGCCUGUUAAGAAGUGUGUGUAAAUGAGUGUAUAUUAAUGGGAGAGUGCAUGUGGGUGUAUGUGAGUGUGUGUGAGCCCCAGGAGUGCCAUGCCCCAGGGGCAGUGAGAGUGGCCCCUAUUGUGUCCCUCUGAACUCCCAAGUCAAUGCAAUUUUUAACCACUGGCUUGUGGUACUGUGGAAAUCACAAGGGGCUGUCAGAGUUGGCUCCUCUGCAAACUGUACAGUGCUAAAUCAGAGCAUAUGCUGAGACAGAAAACGCCGAAGAUUGGAGCAAGUACAGUAUCUGUGCGCCCCCUAGCGUAAGGCUCUCGCCAGCCUGCAAACCAAACCUACAACGAGGGGGAAAAUGUCUCUUAAAGGGAAAGGACUUUUUGGCUGGCACAUGCGAGCGAGCAAGAAACUUCUACGAAUAUUAAUGUGAUUAAGCGCAAAGGAUCAGCGAUGAGUCGGCUCUCGGCGUGACUGGAGCGCCCAGCGUCAGGGAGCGCUUUGUACAUGUGGCGAGUCAUUGCUGCGGAUCCGGGGCUGAGCUGCUCCCUGGUCUCACUGACAGAAGCCGUGUGUGCGCCUGAGCGGAGCGCUAGAAAGAAGCCUUGGUACAACAGCCCGUACAGAAGCACAGAGAGCAGUCCGUACAGAGAGAGAGCCGGAGCACUGUCAGACAUAAGAGCUGAGACAUCUCCAUGCCUAAGGAUGCUGGGGGGAGCUGGUGGGACCCAUCCCGGAUAUCCCUGCUUUUGCUUGAAAGACCAGCAGCGAGUCGCCCUUGGAAAUCCACCAGGCGCUGAAUUCAAAAUGACCAACAUCGGCCACCAGCAUUUUUUUUUCCAUUUAGAUGAACAGGAAAUCAUGGGACUACUAUCAGCUUCCUGCCAGAUUUCAGCACUUGGUACAAGGAUUCCCUGCUGACAGAAAGGAAUAAGAAGACUGAUAAGGAAGACAGGGCUCAGUGAAACAUUUUUCUGCGCCUGUUUCUCUACACCAAAGACUUUUUCACAUAGUAGAAAUACUGAAGAUCAGCGUUUAAAGCGACAGCAGGAUUCAACAUUAUGAAAAUGUAUUCAACAUAUCUCUGAACCAGAAGCCAACCAUAUGAAUAUACCCUUAAGUGAAUGGCACAUGUGAACAUAUGCUAGCCAAUAAUGUUUCACUUUGUCGAUUGGUCUAGAUGACGAUGUCAGAAUUACCAGCACUCACUGGUACUGAUUCAUGGAACAUGGGAGGAUUCCUGGAAGAACACAUGUUUCCCUUAAUGUUGUCCUUUGGAGCAGAUAUCCCCAGCAUGAAUAUGGAUCCCUGUAGUCCAGCUGUGAUUGGGUGAUUUCCCUGCUAGUCCAGCACUCAAGUAAGAAUCUUACCUAUGGAAGUGUGUAGCCAGCCUGAACAGGACCCAGGUAUCUGGGGAAAGCCCUGCCAUGAAAGGAAUCUGUUCAGUGGUCUGUAGCCUGAUUUCAUGGAGCCAACAUGAAGAAAGGCAAAAAUGUCCCUACUGCCAAUAAACAAGAGUCUGCCAUUGAUCGUGAUUCUGACCAGGGUAACUGAAUUGGCCAAGAAUCUGCAAACAUGAAUCUGGAGUGAUAUUAUACCUCAAGUUGUUUCAUUGCAUAGAAAGCAGACUACGACUUGCCUCUGGAAGAUCAAGGUCAACAGCCAUCCACAUAAAAGAAAAAUGAAGAACUGAAAGCUUUGCAGGUCUUUACAUGAUUUAUACCUCCCGGAUUACUCUAACAGUUCACUGAAUAGAGACUUGUUUAAAGACGAAGAAAACAACUUUCAUCCAAAAAAAAGACACCUUUUGAAAUGAUUUCAAAUUGUACUGUACUGUUUGUGGCCCGGUACUUACUGUGAUUGGGGGGAAGGCCACACCCCCUCUGGAAAUGGGGAUAAUCAAACACAUUACACUGUUAUAAACACUGUGGUUAUGGCUGUGUGCACAGGCAAAUGCUUUGUGUGUUCUAGUCAAGCUCUUAUAAGCCCUAUAUGUUUCAGAUUAAAAUAUCUUACUCAAGGUCACUCAAGGCAUAUGGUCCUGCUCAGAACAUUAAACAAAACAUUAGUUUUUACAACCUUUUGUAAUUUGGGAUUGUAUACAACAAGGGUCUUUUCUGUAAUCUUUUUCACUGGGUGACAGAAAUAUGAGAAUAGAAUUUAAAAACCAUUUAGGGAAACUUUGAAUCGAUUUCAUGCAUCGGGAUGAACGGCGAUGGGUCACUUUUAAUCCGGCUUUGGUGGAGCUUUGUUUUUCUUUUAAACAAACCAUUCAGAAUUGAAAGAAAAAGUGGAGAUUUGCUUAAAAGGUCAUUUACUUCUUAAA